UACGAAGGGUGCAAGCGUUAAUCGGAAUUACUGGGCGUAAAGGGUGCGUAGGCGGUUCGUUAAGUCUGUCGUGAAAUCCCCGGGCUCAACCUGGGAAUGGCGAUGGAUACUGGCGAGCUAGAGUGUGUCAGAGGAUGGUGGAAUUCCCGGUGUAGCGGUGAAAUGCGUAGAGAUCGGGAGGAACAUCAGUGGCGAAGGCGGCCAUCUGGGACAACACUGACGAUGAAGCACGAAAGCGUGGGGAGCAAACAGG
rnacentral:rRNA from 1 species